rnacentral:misc_RNA from 1 species
ACCCGGUAUGAGGUCUGUUGGGCUCCCCAAUGGUGUCUCUAGUACCUUAGAUCAACACAUUUUCCCCCAGUCUCAGAAAGCAAUUUCCCACUAACAUCCGCGCAGUUAUGUAGGUAAAGCUCUAAAAGGUGAAAAUUGGGGAUGAAAGUAAGGAUAUGAGAAGCACAGGCCUUGAAGAUCUUGGACAUGGAAGUGAGUUAGCAGAUGGAAGCGACAUCUAGUUUCGUCAUUACGGUGGCCAAUAGAGCCGUCAGCAACUGAUCGAAGCCCUCUUAUUCUUCUUAUUCUUCUUUGGUUGCUUCACUGCUCGCC